AUUUUGAUACGAUAAGUAGUAUUUUUGGAGUUUUGAAAAUGCAGUUUUGUGUCAUUUUAGAUGAUCAUGAUUUCCAAUAAAAACCAAGAAUUUAUUCCUUAUUUUUCUUUUGCAAGAAGUAAAACUUACGUUGCACAAUGCUGGACACUACAAUUCAAAUGAUGGUAAAGUCGUAUUUUCCUGACAGGUCAACCGUAAUACAAAAUGAACGGAUUUAAAAAAAUAAGCCAUUUAUAGGUUCAAGGAUUUUUUCACGUUCACACUAAGUACUUUAAAUGAAUAUUCAAUUGUAUUACGUUUAGAUUUGUCGUUUAAUGCGUUUUUAUUUUUUUUUUUCCAAAUUUUGAAUGAAUUUGUAAGAAUAUGACAAA
rnacentral:lncRNA from 1 species